rnacentral:tRNA from 1 species
GUAGCUGAGUGGUAAAGCGCUGGGCUUCUGAACCAGGACUACUGGGUUCGAAUCCUGAUUUUACA